GUGCUUGAACUCACAAAGCGUGAGACCAUGACCUGAGCCUAGAUCCACAGUUGGACGCUUAACCAACUGAGCCACCCAGGCGCCCCUAGGAGACUAAUGCUUCCAUGGUAAAUCCUCCCUUCAAGGCUGUUCAUUAAAAUGUAACUGGGAAAGUUAAAAACAUGCAUACAAUUCUACAUGAUGCUGAAAGCUUUGUGCAUUUGUGAUUACAACAGGACAACAACAACAACAAACCAUGGGAUUUACAGCAAAUGUACACUAACUUUUAAGUCAGAGGAGUGAUGGUAGAAGGCACAGACAUGCAACUGGGAGAGUAACAUUUACUCUAUGAUUAGUGGCUUAUUUCUGAAGCUGGCUCAUUCUACCCAGAGUCUUUUCACACUCUGACUUUUUACGUGUCUUACAUGUUAUUGUUAGAUGUGCCUUCUGAUAGGAGCUAGGACUACUUUGGUUAGUUUUGCUACCAUGCCUUCCUUAACAUUUCUUGACUCUAAGUUACUGAUCCGGUCAGAUAACCAUUUCCCUUCAAACAGUGGAAGAAACCGUCCUGCCAAUUUUGCAUGAGAAGACUUUCCUCUGCUUACCGGGAGCCAAGGACUUAACCUUGAUACUGAAACAAAUCAUACUUUGAAAAAGUCUGACUUGAUUGUCCAUGGGUCUCUUUUUCCUAGGGCUGCUGAUCACCAUUUCUCACUAAUUCCUGUAACAUUACAAACUCAAGAUGGAAAACCAUAGUUCUGGAAACUCCCUUUUGAAAGGUAAUGGGAGGAAGAAAAAGGAUGAUGUUACAUGAGCCAGUCCUCGCGUCUUGGAAAAUUCAGAGCUGUGUGGUAGAGCACAGAGCUGUCUGAGCUCCUAGCCACAGUAUCUAUCUCCCAUACUGGCACCUGUUCCCUUUCCUCUUGAAGACAGGGUGAAUUGUGGACUCUGUCCUUCAUUGCGAUCCAUGGGAGGGAGUUCUCUCUCAUGUCUUUGGAAUUCCUAGCUGUACUUGAGAUAUCAAAGCAUGCAGCUGUUUUUGAAAACUGAUAAUCAAGUACAAUGUAAGUAUAUUACAUCUUGUACUUACAACACACCCUUCAACUAAGCAACCUCAUGGAGUACUUCACAGUGAGAACCAGAGCUGCUCAUAGUAGAAGCCCAACUGAACAAAUUAGCCUUGAAUUGUAACUUAAGAAUCGUAGUCAAACCGAAAUGCCUGUCCUUGCCAGGAAAGGCAUUCCAAAGGAAAAGAGCAUGCCAAGUAAAAAGCCUUUGCUUCAGGAUUAUGGAGGCAGUUCUCAAAAGCCAGCGUAACUUAAUGAUCAAUCAGAAAAAUAUAGAGCAGUAACUACACAACAAGAAAGAUAAGAAAAAAUUGUACAAAGCGUGAAUAGUGAAUGGGGAGGUAGAGUGGGAUUUUAACAGAAAGUAUUACACUCUUAGAAAGCUCUAUUUAUUGCUUUUAAUCCAGGCAGCAAAAGAAAGACCAACAUGGUCAAAGAAAAGUAUGUGGACAAAUGUGGGGGGCAGGAAAGGAAAUGAAGGUCAAACAAGGCCAAUAUGAUUCAGAAUGAAAAGGAGGGAGGAAAGUAUAAGGAGCCAGCUGCAAUUACUAAAUGUUACAUUAAGAAGAGCUGAAAUGGAGAGGGGGAGGUAUGGGUAUUUUACUAAGUGGAUUAAUGUCCUCCUCUUGGGGUGUCUGAAGUUGCAGAUUUUAAUUUAUUUGGUGCAGGGUUUUCUUGUGAAAUUCUUAAGGGGGUGGAGGGAUAAGUAGGGACAAUUAUAAACAGAAGGUAGAAAAGGGGAACAUACCAUACUUUUCAUAAAUUUAACUAAAAUAAACAGGGUUUGAAGCCAUGGACAAAGGUAGUCAACAAAAUAUUUAGUUCAUUAUAAUAGAACUUAAAGGAGAAUUGGAGGUACAUACAAAAAAAAAAAAAAAAGACCAAAACACCCACAGAGAUGUGUCAAGCCAAGGAUUUUGAGUGACUUAGAGGCUAGUUUAUUGCUGCCCUCCUAUCUCCACCCAUUAAAAAAAAUAAAUCAUAACUCUGGCAUGUA